AAAAUGAACUGUACAAAGAACAGGGAGAUGUAACCUACUGUGGGAAGAAUUGAAAAUGGGGACCCGCCAGAAGCUCCAGGCCAGGAUUUAAACUAGGCCUGGCAGCCAUGAGAAGGCACUCCCAGGCUAUGCCCAUGGGUGGAGAGAGCCCCUGCAGCUUUGGGGAAAGCCUGGGAGCAGAAAAGCAGAGACCCCACAGCAGAAGCUGAAAAUGAGGCACCGACUGUGUACACUGCCAGCACUAGUGCCGCAGCUAAAAUCGGAGGUGGGCUGAUCAGAUGAAUCUGGAAGCUCCAAAGCACCUGCUACACCUUCCCCACACCUAGGGGAUCAGGAAUCUGUGGCAAGGCCAAAGGCCAAGCACUUCUACUUCCAGGGACGCAGCAAAUAAUAAGUAAGUAAAACAACGCGGGUUGAGCAAAUCCUGUCUGUGUACAAGAUUAUCCCUGGAGAAUGCGUGUAUUCCAAAGAGAAGAAAAGGAGGCCUGCAGCGGAGAAGCAACUCGCCCAAAACCAAACAGCCAAGUGGGGGAGGCAGAGUCCUAAGUUUCCAGACAGCUUCUUUCCUGGAACAGUUUCCUGGUCAUAAAAUACACUUACCCGGGACUCAGACUGAAAACCCUCCCGCUAGCCUGGAGGCUGACUGCCAAGUGCAAGAUCCCCGACCCCGUCCGGCCCCGCCCAACUCACCGCACCCUCCACCCCUGAGCGCCCCAAGUUAUCGGACUUCGCCCUGCGUCCCCAGGGCCAAGAAUGCUACUCCCCCUACCUCCUACACUGCCGCACUACCCGCUACAAGCCUGAGAGCCACUGCGCGUUCCCAGCGAGUCACGCAAAAUCUUCCUCCACGGAGGAAGGUCCCCCCCCCCCCGUGAACGCUGAUUCUGUUGUG